rnacentral:piRNA from 1 species
UUCACUGGGACUCCUCUUCCAACGCUGGU